rnacentral:lncRNA from 1 species
UGGAAAGAAAAUUUUUGGAACCUUGUAUCAUCCGAGAAUUGAUUAUUGCGCCGACUAUUAUGUCGGGAUGGAGUUUUGGGUAUACAUGUCGUGCGUUCUUGAGAAAAGAAAGUAAGAAAGGAAAAAACUAUAGCCAAAGAAUAGAAAGAAGAAGGGUGAAAAGUGGGAGGGGAAAUUGAUGGCGCCGUGUAGUUCCCUCGGGCAAAAGGGGAACGAGGGGAUACCGAUGCAGCUAACUUGAUUCGAAGUGAUCCAAUAAGGGAGACCUUAACCACCGUCUACAGCACCAGCAGCAGCAAAGUACAUGCAUAUACCAGGGAAAUUCCUACCAACGAUGCGAUGGAACGAAGCUUAAGAAGCUAAUCAGUGUGUGAAAUAUACUCAAGUCGUU